rnacentral:rRNA from 1 species
AACGAACGCUGGCGGCAGGCUUAACACAUGCAAGUCGAACGCACCUUUCGGGGUGAGUGGCAGACGGGUGAGUAACGCGUGGGAAUCUACCCUUCUCUACGGGAUAGCUCCGGGAAACUGGAAUUAAUACCGUAUACGUCCUGAGGGAGAAAGAUUUAUCGGGGAAGGAUGAGCCCGCGUUGGAUUAGCUAGUUGGUGGGGUAAAGGCCUACCAAGGCGACGAUCCAUAGCUGGUCUAAGAGGAUGAUCAGCCACAUUGGGACUGAGACACGGCCCAAACUCCUACGGGACGCAGCAGUGGGGAAUAUUGGACAAGGGGCGCAAGCCCGACACAGCCAUGCCGCGGGAGUGAUGAAGGCCCUAGGGAUGUAAAGCUCUUUCAGUGGGGACGAUAAUGACGGUACCCACAGAAGAAGCACCGGCUAACUUCGUG